rnacentral:rRNA from 1 species
CUUAGUGACGGUACCUGAAUAAGAAGCCCCGGCUAACUACGUGCCAGCAGCCGCGGUAAUACGUAGGGGGCAAGUGUUAUCCGGAAUUACUGGGUGUAAAGGGAGCGUAGGCGGCACGCCAAGCCAGAUGUGAAAGCCCGAGGCUUAACCUCGCGGAUUGCAUUUGGAACUGGCGAGCUAGAGUACAGGAGAGGAAAGCGGAAUUCCUAGUGUAGCGGUGAAAUGCGUAGAUAUUAGGAAGAACACCAGUGGCGAAGGCGGCUUUCUGGACUGAAACUGACGCUGAGGCUCGAAAGCGUGGGGAGCAAACAGGAUUAGAUACCCUGGUAGUCCACGCCGUAAACGAUGAGUGCUAGGUGUCGGGGAGGAAUCCUCGGUGCCGCAGCUAACGCAAUAAGCACUCCACCUGGGGAGUACGACCGCAAGGUUGAAACUCAAAGGAAUUGACGGGGGCCCGCACAAGCGGUGGAGCAUGUGGUUUAAUUCGAAGCAACGCGAAGAACCUUACCAAGGCUUGACAUCCCGAUGACCGCUCUAGAGAUAGAGUUUCUCUUCGGAGCAUCGGUGACAGGUGGUGCAUGGUUGUCGUCAGCUCGUGUCGUGAGAUGUUGGGUUAAGUCCCGCAACGAGCGCAACCCUUAUCCUUAGUAGCCAUCAUUGAGUUGGGCACUCUAGGGAGACUGCCGUGGAUAACACGGAGGAAGGUGGGGAUGACGUCAAAUCAUCAUGCCCCUUAUGUCUUGGGCUACACACGUGCUACAAUGGCUGGUAACAGAGUGAAGCGAGACGGCGACGUUAAGCAAAUCACAAAAACCCAGUCCCAGUUCGGAUUGUAGUCUGCAACUCGACUACAUGAAGCUGGAAUCGCUAGUAAUCGCGAAUCAGAAUGUCGCGGUGAAUACGUUCCCGGGCCUUGUACACACCGCCCGUCACACCCAUGGGAGUUGGAAGCACCCGAAAGUUCGGUGAC